UCGGCUCCAAGGAAGCCUACAUUGCCGGGAUUGCGGGUACAUCUACAACGAGCGAACUCCGUUCGAGAAGCUGCCCGAUAAUUACUUCUGUCCAGUGUGUGGUGCCCCGAAGCGAAGGUUCAAGCCGUAUCUGCCAGCCGUGACCAACAACGCGAACGAUACCGAC